rnacentral:pre_miRNA from 1 species
AGGAGGUACAACAGCAGUGGCGCGGCCAGCUCUGGAAACCUUGAUUCAGCUCCCACAGUAACUAUUAGGAGCUCUCUGUCUGCAGGGUCUGGAGGCUCCGGGGCGGG